rnacentral:ncRNA from 1 species
UAGUAAGAAGUAAGCGGAAACAAAAUAAUUAUUUUAGUUAUCUUCAUCCAUCAAUUUAGAUCUUUUAAGAUCAUAAUAGUGGCGACGAGGAUAAAAGUGAUAAUANGAUGUUAUGUGGAGUCGAGUUUCACCUGAUAGUUUGGUUCCAGUUUCAGCAAUGAAGCUGGUGACGUCUAUCUGCUUAAAAAGACAAUUUGCGUCUAGCAGAAUGAAAUUGAGCAAUAACAGGUCCGUGAUGCCCUUAGAUGUUCUGGGCGGCACGCGUGUUACAAUGAAGCCAUAAGCGUGCUCCUUGUCCGAAAGGAUUGGGUAAUCACUUAACCGGCUUCAUAGUUGGGAUUGUGGACUGAAAAAGUUCACAUGAACCAGGAAUGCCUAGUAAGCGUGAGUCACUAGCUUGUGUUGAAUACGUCCCUGAUCUUUGUACACACCGCCCGUCGCUACUACCGACGAGUUGCUUAGUGAGAUCUUUGGAGGCGAUGCACUAAAGUGCUUCGGUACUUCGGUUGCUAUUGCCAAAGUUGAUCAAACUUGAUGAUUUGGAGGAAGUAAAAGUCGUAACAAGGUUUCCGUAGGUGAACCUGCGGAAGGAUCAUUA